rnacentral:rRNA from 1 species
UCCUACGGGAGGCAGCAGUGGGGAAUAUUGGGCAAUGGGCGAAAGCCUGACCCAGCAACGCCGCGUGAAGGAAGAAGGCCUUCGGGUUGUAAACUUCUUUUACCAGGGACGAAGAACGUGACGGUACCUGGAGAAAAAGCAACGGCUAACUACGUGCCAGCAGCCGCGGUA